AAAUAGAACUUUGCAGAGAGAGUUAACAGGGCGUGAAACCGUUAAUUGGCAAACGAAUCGGAGCCACGAAGUCGUUUCGUUGAGUUGGGUUAGGUUCAGCUUAGGACGAGAGUCCUGGGUGUAUUCUUAGCUCGACCAUUGUAAGCGUACACUGCAACCAGUUAGACGAUUGGUGAUGGGCCCAGUUGAUUGAGGAUGCUUGCAUUCUCUUUUAACGCAGGACUUGUUUAUCCGGGUUAGUAGUAAUGUUGUACGCUUUCGGGUGUACAGUGUUGCUGGGCUCGUGAUAAGUGAACUAUCUACCAAAUACUGACUGGCAAAAUGAAAAUCGCCACUGUGCGUUUUAUAGAAUGCUGCAGCUGGUAUAGAUGCUUACAUGCUCAACCAUAGGGUUUUAAGCUCAGCAUCUUUGAAUUUAGACUUGCAUUCUACCAGUGGGGCAACUCCUGGUGUUUGUAUAGCUUCUAUCUAAUCGGGUGUUGACUUGAUCUUAUGUUGUUUGAGUAUGCUACGAUAGAGUGUUUAUACAAAGUUGUAAGCAAUUCAAU
rnacentral:rRNA from 1 species